GCCAGCCUCUCCAUGUUGGUUCCAUCGGUGGGGGACACCAACUCCUUGAGCCGAACCAAUAUCACCCGAGCCAAAU